rnacentral:rRNA from 1 species
UACGUAGGUUGCGAGCGUUGUCCGGAUUUACUGGGCGUAAAGCGCGCGCAGGCGGUCCUGAAAGUCGAAUGUGAAAGCUCCUGGCUUAACUGGGAGAGGCCGUUCGAAACUUCGGGACUUGAAGGCGGGAGAGGCAGAUGGAGUUUCCGGUGUAGCGGUAAAAUGCGUAGAUACCGGAAGGAACACCAGUGGCGAAAGCGAUCUGCUGGCCCGCCCUUGACGCUCAGGCGCGAAAGCUAGGGGAG